AGAUGUCCAAGUGAUCUGGCUGUGAAAUCUGUCACGGCGCUGAGUGGCAGGGUUGGUUUGGCUGAUCUUGUUCGGCUAGGUGGGUGGCCCCUUUCUCCCUCACCACUCCAUGCACGUGCCUCCAGAAGUUGGGUGUGAUGUUGAAGAAAGCAACCUUCCCUGAACAGAAGAACACAUCUUCCAUCAAAGGUACAUGGAUAGCUGUGCUCUCUCCUGCUACAGCCUCCAAACAAGUUAUCAAAAAUGCAAAGGUAUUAGGCGAGUUUUACCCCCAGGGCGGGGAGGGGGAGGAGGUAGGCUGUAUGGUCAGCAGAUGAUAAAGCUGGCUGUGGAGAUCAGAGCCAGCUCUAG
rnacentral:snRNA from 1 species